rnacentral:rRNA from 1 species
CAGCCGCCGCGGUAACACGUAGGUGGCAAGCGUUGUCCGGAAUUAUUGGGCGUAAAGCGCGCGCAGGCGGAUAGGUCAGUCUGUCUUAAAAGUUCGGGGCUUAACCCCGUGAUGGGAUGGAAACUGCCAAUCUAGAGUAUCGGAGAGGAAAGUGGAAUUCCUAGUGUAGCGGUGAAAUGCGUAGAUAUUAGGAAGAACACCAGUGGCGAAGGCGACUUUCUGGACGAAAACUGACGCUGAGGCGCGAAAGCCAGGGGAGCGAACGGGAUUAGAUACCCCCGUAGUCCCUGUCUCUUAUACA